CAGAGGACACCAUUGCCUGGAGAUGACAGAAGGCUGAGGAUGGAGAGAGGCACUGAUAGAGGCCAGACCAGACAAGCAGUGCCAAGUCCAUAGUGGGACACCAAAGGGAGGAGGCAAUCCCAGAUGAGGUCCAUCCCAGAACCAGACCUUGCAGGGACCUCAAGGAGCUAUGAACAUAGAAACCCUAUACAUGAUAUCACUUGAAUCCCUCCACAAGGGCUUCUGAUAUUGUCUUAGACCUUUGGAAAGUUCAGGGGUAGUAGCCUCUGGGCCCAUAGUGCUCCCCUGAUGAUGCAGCCCCACCCUCAACUCUUGCCACUGCAGAUGCUCCUUGGGCAGUUUCAUCUGGGCCUUUCACAUCAGCUCCCUCCAAAUGUGACUGGACCUCAAAUGGAUCUUCAGACCCCCAUGCCCAACCACCUCCCAGCUACCUUCCCUGGACAACCCACAGGUCACAUGAUCACCAGGAAGCCCAUGUCUCUGCAUGAUAACCUGGAGAAACCUACAGAUGCCAGGCUUCUGAAUCUCAUUCACCAUGCUUCCCAGGGAUCAAGGAAGAAAUACCCAGAGAUACAGACUGAAAAAUCAGGAAACUGGAUGGGAUUCAGAGCCCUUGGAAUGGAGCCUUCUCAUUCAUUCACCCAACUCCAGUCUAAAACGUGCAGCUCUGAAGCAGGGCUGCUUCAUAGAGACUUGAGUAAAUAGCACAGUAAAGCCCAGGUUUUACCAGUGAGGAGGAGAGUAAAUACACUGAUCAUUUGCAAGAGCACCUCUUCAGAUAUGGCACCUCUCCUUGGAGAGAGGAGACUAUGGAAGACAGGGAGACCAUUCUAGCUGAAGCUCACACCACUUACACAACAAAAGAUCUAAGUCGAAAAGGGAGAGAGUAAAGACCUGGCUCACAUGGGUGUGAAGUGUGCAUGUGGAAACAUUGCAUCUUUAACAUUUCACAACAUCUUGUAGCAGGCUUACUAUGGCAGGAAGGACAAGUGUGGCUGGCCCAGCCAGUGCUGUCCUGCUCAGACCUUCCUAGGCUUUGCAAUGCUGGGAUAAUAGGGAAGCCACACUCAAUGAGCAUCUCUCAGCCUCACAUCUCCUGGUCAACCCAGAAUGCCACAACCACAGGCCGAACCACAGAUCUGGAGGCUGGGAAAUCCAAGAACAUGGCACUGGCAUCAGGCAAGGGUCAGCCCAUGCUGGAGGGCAGAAGGCAGAAGUGAGCAUGUGAGACAGAGAUAAGAAAUUAGGCUGAACUUGCUUGUAUAGCAAACCCAGCCUCUCAAUAACUAACCCGCUCCAGCAAUAAUGGCAUUAAUCCAUUCAUGAGGGCAGAGCCCCCAUGACCUAUUCACAUCCUAAAGGCCCCACAUCAAUCAUAUCUCAACAUGAGGUUCAGAGGACACAAACAUUCAAACCAUAGCAGUCGGUAGAGAGCAUCAACAUAUAUUGUGGAGCAGGAAAGCAAACGUCCAGAGAGAAUGUCUAUGAUGGUACCCAAUGAGUCUAGGACCAGGAUUCUUAUGCUAUGGUCACUCAUAUUUUUGAGUUUCAUCAAAUGAAUGUCCUUCACAUCACCAGCAAGCAGCUUCCACCUUCUGGAUCUUCAGAAUGGUCUUAAAGAUGAGGGAUGGAGGCCAGGCAUGCUGGCUUAUGACUGUAAUCCCAGCAGGAAGCUAGGAGCCCAAGGCAGGAAGAUUGCUUGAGGCUAAGAGUUCAAGAUCAGUUUGGGCAACACAGCAAAAACCUAUCUCUACAAAAACUAAAAAUAAAAAUAAAUCACCUGAGCAUGGUGGUGCAUGCUUAUAGGCUGAGGUGGCUAAGGUGGAAGGAUUGCUUAAGCCCAGGAAGUUGAGACCGCAGAGAGCCAUGA
ensembl:lncRNA LINC02209 long intergenic non-protein coding RNA 2209